rnacentral:tRNA from 1 species
GGAGAUAUGGCUCAGAGGUUAAGAGCACUGACUGUUCUUCCAGAGGUCCUGAGUUCAAAUCCCAGCAACUACA